GACGAACGCUGGCGGCGUGCUUAACACAUGCAGGUCGAACGGAAAGGCCCUGCUUUUGUGGGGUGCUCGAGUGGCGAACGGGUGAGUAACACGUGAGUAACCUGCCCUUGACUUUGGGAUAACUUCAGGAAACUGGGGCUAAUACCGGAUAGGAGCUCCUGCUGCAUGGUGGGGGUUGGAAAGUUUCGGCGGUUGGGGAUGGACUCGCGGCUUAUCAGCUUGUUGGUGGGGUAGUGGCUUACCAAGGCUUUGACGGGUAGCCGGCCUGAGAGGGUGACCGGCCACAUGGGGACGGAGAUACGGCCCAGACUCCUACGGGAGGCAGAAGUGGGGAAUAUUGCACAAUGGGCGGAAGCCUGAUGCAGCAACGCCGCGUGCGGGAUGACGGCCUUCGGGUUGUAAACCGCUUUCGCCUGUGACGAAGCGUGAGUGACGGUAAUGGGUAAAGAAGCACCGGCUAACUACGU
rnacentral:rRNA from 1 species